rnacentral:misc_RNA from 1 species
AAGUCGUAACAAGGUUUCCGUAGGUGAACCUGCGGAAGGAUCAUUACCGAGUCUGGGUCUCUUGGCCCUACACUCCCACCCGAUGCCUACCCUACCAUGUUGCUUUGGCGGUGCCCGUCCUUGGACCGCUGGGGAUCCCUCCCUGGCCCGUGCCCGCCAAGAGCCUAAUUAAAUCUCUCACCAGAACUAUGCCCCCUAAAUAUUAAACAAAAUCGUUAAAACUUUCAACAACGGAUCUCUUGGUUCUG